AUGGGUGAGUAACGCGUUGGUGACCUGCCCCGAAGAGGGGGAUAACAGUUCGAAAGGACUGCUAAUACCUCAUGUGGUUAUAAGGACUAGAUGCCUUAUAUCUAAAGGAGUAAUCCGCUUCGGGAGGGGCCUGCGUCCCAUCAGCUAGUUGGUAGGGUAAUGGCCUACCAAGGCUACGACGGGUAGGGGGCCUGAGAGGGUGGCCCCCCACACUGGCACUGAAACACGGGCCAGACACCUACGGGUGGCAGCAGUAGGGAAUAUUGCACAAUGGGCGAAAGCCUGAUGCAGCAACGCCGCGUGCACGAUGAAGGCCUUCGGGUCGUAAAGUGCUUUUUGGGGAGAUGAGGAAGGACAGUAUCCCCAGAAUAAGGUUCGGCUAACUACGUGCCAGCAGCCGCGGUAACACGUAGGAAUCGAGCGUUAUCCGAAUUUACUGGGCGUAAAGCGCGUGCAGGCGGUUUGGUAAGUUGGAUGUGAAAGCUCCUGGCUCAACUAGGAGAGGCCGUUCAAAACUACCAGACUUGAGGACGGUAGAGGAAGGUGGAAUUCCCGGUGUAGUAGUGAAAUGCGUAGA
rnacentral:rRNA from 1 species